rnacentral:misc_RNA from 1 species
GACGUAGGGCGCGAGCGUUAAUCGGAAUUACUGGGCGUAAAGGGCUCGUAGGCGGUUUGUUGCGUCUGCUGUGAAAGCCCGGGGCUUAACCCCGGGUCUGCAGUGGAUACGGGCAGGCUAGAGUCCGGCAGGGGAGACUGGAAUUCCUGGUGUAGCGGUGGAAUGCGCAGAUAUCAGGAGGAACACCGGUGGCGAAGGCGGGUCUCUGGGCCGGUACUGACGCUGAGGAGCGAAAGCGUGGGGAGCGAACAGG